rnacentral:rRNA from 1 species
AUUGAACGCUGGCGGCAGGCUUAACACAUGCAAGUCGAGCGGGGAAAGGUAGCUUGCUACCUGACCUAGCGGCAGACGGGUGAGUAAUGCUUAGGAAUCUGCCUAUUAGUGGGGGACAACAUUCCGAAAGGAAUGCUAAUACCGCAUACGCCCUACGGGGGAAAGCAGGGGAUCUUCGGACCUUGCGCUAAUGGAUGAGCCUAAGUCAGAUUAGCUAGUUGGUGGGGUAAAGGCCUACCAAAGCGACGAUCUGUAGCGGGUCUGAGAGGAUGAUCCGCCAAACUGGGACUGAGACACGGCCCAGACUCCUCAGGGAUGCAGCAGUGGGGAAUAUUGGACAAUGGGCGAAAGCCUGAUUCAGCCAUGCCGCGUGUGUGAAAAAGGCCUUUUGGUUGUAAAGCACUUUAAGCGAGGAGGAGGCUACUUGGAUUAAUACUCUAGGAUAGUGGACGGUACUCGCAGAAUAAGCACCGGCUAACUCUGUGCCAGCCGCCGCGGUAAUAC